rnacentral:rRNA from 1 species
UUCGGAUGCUGACGAGUGGCGAACGGGUGAGUAAUACAUCGGAACGUGCCCGAUCGUGGGGGAUAACGCAGCGAAAGCUGUGCUAAUACCGCAUACGAUCUACGGAUGAAAGCAGGGGAUCGCAAGACCUUGCGCGGACGGAGCGGCCGAUGGCAGAUUAGGUAGUUGGUGGGGUAAAGGCUCACCAAGCCGACGAUCUGUAGCUGGUCUGAGAGGACGACCAGCCACACUGGGACUGAGACACGGCCCAGACUCCUACGGGAGGCAGCAGUGGGAAUUUUGGACAAUGGGCGCAAGCCUGAUCCAGCCAUGCCGCGUGCAGGAUGAAGGCCUUCGGGUUGUAAACUGCUUUUGUACGGAACGAAAAGGUCUUCUCUAAUAAAGAGGGCUCAUGACGGUACCGUAAGAAUAAGCACCGGCUAACUACGUGCCAGCAGCCGCGGUAAUACGUAGGGUGCAAGCGUUAAUCGGAAUUACUGGGCGUAAAGCGUGCGCAGGCGGUGAUGUAAGACAGAUGUGAAAUCCCCGGGCUCAACCUGGGAACUGCAUUUGUGACUGCAUCGCUGGAGUGCGGCAGAGGGGGAUGGAAUUCCGCGUGUAGCAGUGAAAUGCGUAGAUAUGCGGAGGAACACCGAUGGCGAAGGCAAUCCCCUGGGCCUGCACUGACGCUCAUGCACGAAAGCGUGGGGAGCAAACAGGAUUAGAUACCCUGGUAGUCCACGCCCUAAACGAUGUCAACUGGUUGUUGGGUCUUCACUGACUCAGUAACGAAGCUAACGCGUGAAGU